GACGAACGCUGGCGGCGUGCCUAAUACAUGCAAGUCGAGCGGACGAUUCGAAAGCUUGCUUUUGAAUCGUUAGCGGCGGACGGGUGAGUAACACGUGGGCAACCUGCCCUGUAGACGGGGAUAACAACGAGAAAUCGGUGCUACUAACGGAUAACACGAAAUGUCGCAUGACGUUUCGUUGAAAGGCGGCGCAAGCUUCCGCUACAGGUUGGGCCCGCGGCGCAUUAGCUAGUUGGUGAGGUAACGGCUAACCAAGGCGACGAUGCGUAGCCGACCUGAGGGGGUGAUCGGCCACACUGGGACGGAGACACGGCCCAGACUCCUACGGGAGGCGGCAGUAGGGAAUCUUCCGCAAUGGACGAAAGUCUGACGGAGCAACGCCGCGUGAGCGAAGAAGGCCUUCGGGUCGUAAAGCUCUGUUGUUAGGGAAGAACAAGUAACGUAGUAACUGACGUUACUAUGACGGUACCUAACGAGAAAGCCACGGCUAACUACGUG
rnacentral:rRNA from 1 species